rnacentral:tRNA from 1 species
GGGUCGUUAGCUCAGUUGGUAGAGCAGCGGACUUUUAAUCCGUUGGUCGCUGGUUCGAACCCAGCACGGCCUA